GAUGAACGCUGGCGGCGUGCCUAAUACAUGCAAGUCGAACGAGGAGGAGCAAUCCUUCGAGUGGCGAACGGGUGAGUAACGCGUUGGUGACCUGCCCCAAAGUGUGGGAUACCAGGCCGAAAGGCUUGCUAAUACCGCAUGUGCUGGAGGGACUUAGAACCUCUUCAGUAAAGGAGAAAUCUGCUUUGGGCGGGGCCUGCGACCCAUCAGCUAGUUGGUAAGGUAACGGCCUACCAAGGCGAUGACGGGUAGGGGACCUGAGAGGGUGCCCCCCCACAAUGGAACUGAAACACGGUCCAUACACCUACGGGUGGCAGCAGUAGGGAAUAUUGCUUAAUGGGCGCAAGCCUGAAGCAGCAACGCCGCGUGUGCGAUGAAGGCCUUCGGGUUGUAAAGCACUUUUAGCAGGGAAAAGGAAGGAUGGUACCUGCUGAAUAAGCCUCGGCUAACUACGUGCCAGCAGCCGCGGUAAAACGUAGGAGGCGAGCGUUAUCCGGAUUUACUGGGUGUAAAGCGCGUGCAGGCGGUCGGUUAAGUGGGAUGUGAAAGCUCCUGGCUCAACUGGGAGAGGUCGUUCCAAACUGGCGGACUGGAGAGCAGUAGGGGAAGGUGGAAUUCCGGGUGUAGUGGUGAAAUGCGUAGAUAUCCGGAGGAACACCAGUGGCGAAGGCGGCCUUCUGGACUGCAUCUGACGCUCAGACGCGAAAGCUAGGGGAGCAAACGGGAUUAGAGACCCCGGUAGUCCUAGCCGUAAACAAUGUGAACUUGGCGCCGGGCGGGUAAAACCGAUCGGUGCCGAAGCAAACGCGAUAAGUUCACCACCUGGGGACUACGGCCGCAAGGUUAA
rnacentral:rRNA from 1 species